AGCUCCGGUUUAGUCCAGCUAGUAGUUUGGGCAAAUUUUGGACCGAGCCCAAGAACUUUGCCCACACUCAAUGUCGAUGGGAUUAGUGGGUGAACAGGA
rnacentral:lncRNA from 1 species